CCCAUCUAGAUCGCCACCUCCCCGCCACCGGCCCGCAUCCUCCAUCGCGCCGUCCUCCCCGCUCUGCGGCCUGCCUCCUCUCUGCCGCGCCCUCCUCCCCACGCCGUCUGAGUCCUCCGCGUGCGGUUCGCUGAUGCCGGGGCCCAGGCUGCCGUGCUCCACGCUCGCGUCGGUCGGCUCAAGUGUGUGCUACCGGCGGCAAUGGGCUGCUGGACAUGCUCCUCGCCGCCACGGGCAACGGGCGGUAGGACGAGGAGAGGGAGGUGGAGGUGGCGGAGGAGGCGACGGAGAUGACAGGGACAGAUCAGACUACACGCUGGAGGACGAGGGCAUCGCAUCACCUACUGUCGCGUCUCGGUUACAAGGUCGUCGCUGCCGUCGCCCAGCACCGACCGCCUUGCCCCGAUUAGCUCUUGCUAACGCGGACGCCCGGAUGUGCUCCAGCGCCACCGCCUACGGGUGACUCUCCAACGACGGUUCCUCCCUUCCUCAUGACCUCAUGGAGCUAUCUCUUAUUAGAUCUAAUUGUAUCCCUAUUUGUGGUGAUUGGGUUGGGGUAGAUGAGUCAACAACGAAGCUCGGGGACGUGAUAUGGCCCUCGGUGUAGGUGGCCGUGGUGGACCUGAAGCUGGCUGAGAUAAGCGAUGGGGUCAGUGUUAUGCUCCUCCUGUUCUCAUUAAGCAAAAAUAAUGCAGACUGUGGCUGCAUGACUGGUGUAUAUAUCCACUUGGACCACCAAAAUCAAACUGAUAGCAAGAACCAGAAAUAGUGCUGAUUUAUAGUUCGUAAACAGAUCCAUAUUAGUUCAGGGAUCCACAGAACAAAUUUGUACAUUCAGAAUGACCACCAAAAUCUAGCCGUACAAUUAACUAGAUUGGAGAAUUUAUUUGAUCAAUAUGUGCACAUGAAACAAGAAAUUAACCCGUGUGAACUAUCUAUGGAAUUAUGCAAUGCGCAGAAAAAUAUUCAAACAACAUGAUGUUUCAUUCCGAGGCUAUAGUUACAUCACUAAAACCAAACAAUUAUAUAUAAUUCCCCAUGGACAGAUUGCACCAAACACUCUGGUUACUUGCCUACAGCUAAUUAUUUUACUUAAUGCCAGGGAGGUAUCAAAUUAUGGAGCUUGGAGAUCUGUCUUGCCUGUUGUCUGAACUGAAACAGCAGCCUCACUGUCCUCUUGGUCUUGGAUUGCAGUGAGCUGGUUCUCGAAUGUCCCAUCGCGUACUGGCUGCAGCACCCGAGCUCCUCAUUAUCUGUUAAAGGAUCAAGAUCCAUCGCCACCGACAGUCGUCUACUUGGACGCAAGGCUUGCCCGAACGACUCUGAAUCGAAACCAAUCCUAGACUAAGAGCUAUAUGUAUCAUCCAUUUGCACAGAUCCAGCCAAAGCACUUAAUUCACAGUCCGCAAAAUAGGCAAUCUAUGUAACGCAAGGCAAAUCUAGCUUAGAAAUCUACACGGAACCUGCAUUGCGCUUGCCUAAAUCAACUUACCUAUCCACGGGGUAUUUACAUAAUCCGAUAUAAUUGUUAAUUAUCUCUCUUCCAUGACAAAAUCCAACUUACUAUUUUUUUCUCACAGAACGACUGUGUUCAGCCACUAUCAGACUUUGGUGGUGUACCCCGGCUGCCAAACCAUGCUUUGCCAACCUACUAGAGGAAAGGCGAGGCUCACCAAGGGAUGAUCCUUCCACCGGAAGUGUAAUUAAUUUGCAUGCCUCAUUAUGGAAAAAAAGAAGCCCUUCUGAAAAUUACUUAUCCUCGAUGAGGGGAGACCGACCAAAAGAGGCAAUCCUUGGGUGCUGAACUUGGAAUGGGAUAAUGAAACACUAUUUUUUGUUACAUUCUAAUUUCAGUUGGUCUUGAAAUUUAGUUUUUUUUUCCUUUUAGCAUGGUAAUUUGCUGGGACCUGGGAGUCCUGAUUUUAAUUAUUACAGGAUGGUAAUCCAUUUUAUGUUGGUUUUAUCUUCUCAGGAGCAAGCAAAUUAUAAGUUCGUACUUGUGGCACCCAGAUCCGCAUGGAGCAGGGGGCCUUCGCAUGUCAGCCCAGGAUAACACCUGACGCACGACAUGUCCGCGAUACAACAUUCUAGCGGAAGUCUAAUUAAAUGGCGGCGGAAGUCUUGGCAGCAUAUAACUCUGGUUGGGCUCCACAACUCACAGGACUGGCAAGAUUACGGCCUAGCACGACGGAACAAGUGAACGACCUACAAAACUGGCAUGACACGCCAAGUCAGUACAUUGAAUGUACUUGCAAGACAACCAAAUACAUAGCAUCCAAACAAGCAGAAGACAAAGCAGGAACCAAGAGAAUGCAACAAUCUAGCUCAUUUCAGAAACUAAGCAUCACAUAAUAUCAACC